rnacentral:rRNA from 1 species
UUCAGGAGCCGUAUCACUCUGUAGACUAAGACUGGUUAUUCACUGAAGCUAAGCAGGGUCGAGUCUGCUCAGUACCUGGAUGGGAGACCUCCUGGAAAAAAAAGUUGCUGCUGGAA